rnacentral:rRNA from 1 species
GACGUAGGGCGCGGAGCGUUGUCCGGAUUUAUUGGGCGUAAAGAGCUACGUAGGCGGCUUGUUGCGUCAGCUGUGAAAACCCGCAGCUCAACUGUGGGCUUGCAGCUGAUACGGGCAGGCUUGAGUUCGGUAGGGGAGACUGGAAUUCCUGGUGUAGCGGUGAAAUGCGCAGAUAUCAGGAGGAACACCGGUGGCGAAGGCAGGUCUCUGGGCCACUACUGACGCUGAGAAGCGAAAGCAUGGGGAGCGAACAGG